UGAGGAAUAUUGGACAAUGGGCGCAAGCCUGAUCCAGCCAUGCCGCGUGCAGGAAGAAGCAUCUAUGGUGUGUAAACUGCUUUUGUACGGGAAGAAACACUCCUACGUGUAGGAGCUUGACGGUACCGUAAGAAUAAGGAUCGGCUAACUUCGUGCCAGCAGCCGCGGUAAUACGGAGGAUCCAAGCGUUAUCCGGAAUCAUUGGGUUUAAAGGGUCCGUAGGCGGUUUAGUAAGUCAGUGGUGAAAGCCCAUCGCUCAACGAUGGAACGGCCAUUGAUACUGCUAGACUUGAAUUACAAGGAAGUAACUAGAAUAUGUAGUGUAGCGGUGAAAUGCUUAGAUAUUACAUGGAAUACCAAUUGCGAAGGCAGGUUACUACUUGUGGAUUGACGCUGAUGGACGAAAGCGUGGGGAGCGAACA
rnacentral:rRNA from 1 species